rnacentral:rRNA from 1 species
UACGUAGGGGGCGAGCGUUAAUCGGAAUUACUGGGCGUAAAGCGUGCGCAGGCGGUUCGCCAAGUCAGGUGUGAAAUCCCCGGGCUCAACCCGGGAACUGCGUCCGAUACUGGAAGGCUUGAAUCCGGGAGAGGGAUGUGGAAUUCCAGGUGUAGCGGUGAAAUGCGUAGAUAUCUGGAGGAACACCGGUGGCGAAGGCGACAUCCUGGACCGGUAUUGACGCUGAGGCGCGAAAGCCAGGGGAGCAAACGGG